UACGAAGGGGGCUAGCGUUGCUCGGAAUCACUGGGCGUAAAGCGCACGUAGGCGGCUUCUUAAGUCAGGGGUGAAAUCCUGGAGCUCAACUCCAGAACUGCCUUUGGAUACUGGAGAGCUUGAGUCCGGGAGAGGUGAGUGGAACUCCGAGUGUAGAGGUGAAAUUCGUAGAUAUUGGGAAGAACACCAGUGGCGAAGGCGGCUCACUGGCCCGUAACUGACGCUGAGGUGCGAAAGCGUGGGGAGCAAACAGG
rnacentral:rRNA from 1 species